GAUGAACGCUGGCGGCGUGCCUAAUACAUGCAAGUCGAGCGAACAGACGAGGAGCUUGCUCCUCUGACGUUAGCGGCGGACGGGUGUGUCACGCGUGUAUAACCUACCUAUAUGACGGGGAUAAUUUCGGGACACCGGCGCAUACACCGGAUAAGCUAUUGAACCGCAGGGGUGAAUAGUAAAAGUCGGCUGUGCGGGCUCUACUAGCGGGUUCCGCGCCGCAUUAGCUAGUUGGUAAGGUAACGGGUUACCAAGGCAACGAGGCGUAGCCGACCUGACAGGGUGAUCGGCCGCCCUGGAACUGGGACACGGUCCAGACUCCUACGGGAGGCAGCAGUAGGGAAUCUGCCGCAGUGGGCGAGAGCCUGACGGAGCAACGCCGCGUGAGUGAUGAAGGUCUUCGGAUCGUAAAACUCUGUUAUUAGGGAAGAACAAAUGUGUAAGUAACUAUGCCCGUCUUGACGGUACCUAAUCAGAAAGCCACGGCUAACUACGUG
rnacentral:rRNA from 1 species